GGGCGAUUAGCUCAGUUGGUAGAGCAACUGACUCUUAAUCAGUGGGUCCCGGGUUCGAGUCCCUGAUCGCCCACCA
rnacentral:tRNA from 1 species